AUGGCGAUGAGGAAGGAGGUCCUCCUGGUGGCCAUGAUGCUGGCACUGGUGGUGGCGGCACCGGGCAGGGCGCGUGCGGCGUGCGAGGUGGGGAAGCUGACGGUGUGCAUGCCGGCGAUCACCACCGGCGCCAAGCCGAGCGGCGCGUGCUGCGCCAACCUGCGCGCGCAGCAGGCGUGCAGUACGCCAAGGACCCCUCCCUCGGCCGCUACAUCAGGAGCCCCCACACCAGCGAGACCCUCGUCACCUGCGGCCUCGCCGUCCCCCACUGCUAGGCACCAGCUCGCCUAG
rnacentral:rRNA from 1 species